rnacentral:rRNA from 1 species
AAGGUAGCAUAACUCCUAGCCUUUUAAUUAAAGGCCAGUCAAUGGUCAAACGAGGGUCUAGCUGUCUCUUACCCAGAAAUAAAAACUAACUUCCAAGUGAAAAGGCUAGGAUAAAAUUGAAAGACGAGAAGACCCCGUAGAAUUUAAUUAGAACCUGAGCCCGACUCAAGCCGCUGCGCAGGGCAUAAUUUAAUUUGGGCAAUUAGAGAAAAUAAAAAACUUCUCUCACGAAAACACCAAUCAGUAUGACGGGCGACAGAAUAAAAAAGAGAGAAAUUACCUCGGGGAUAACAGCAUAAUCCUACUGGAGAGCACACAUUAAUAGUAGGGAUUAUGACCUCGAUGUUGGAUUAGAAAACCCGAAAGAUGCAACCGUCUUUUUAAGGUGGUCUGUUCGACCAUUAAAUUUCUACGUGAUC